UUUCCAUAAGCUUCCGCAAACUUUCGAUCCUUCCAUUGUGCUCCCAAAAUUUUCCCAAUAGAAAAUAGAAAGCUUUGAGAAACAGCCCUACCUAGCAGCGCACUCCCACCCCUCAACAUACACCACCUUCCGGCCAUCAAACCCAAGCACUGCCACCGUCAAUCCACCAGCGGCAUCUAGGCAACCCUUCCAGCACCUUUCCAAUCGCCUACAACUUCUCGGAAAAGAAGACCUGACCGGGUUAGAUCUUGACCUGAAUCUAGACUUACAAGUUUUCUAGAUUUCUCUGGCAUCUGACCCUCUCCAGCCCUUCUCCAAUCACAGAUCUGCCCAUCUCUGUUGUCAAAACUGCUAUCUAACUUCCCAGCUGCAAAAAUCCGUGGGUCAGGUCAAGGAAUCUAUUGAAUUUUUUUUUUCAAUGAAAAUGACUCCUAAAUUGCUAAAAUUUCAGUUUUCUUCAAUGAGAUAUGCUUCUUUAAAUUGAAAUCAU
rnacentral:misc_RNA from 1 species